rnacentral:lncRNA from 1 species
AAAAUUAGUAUUUUGUAUAAUUCAGCUACAAUAAUCUUAUUCUUUUAGUAAAUUAAGUUUACAUUUUAAUAUAGUUCCAGAGUAAUAUAUGUUAGUAUUUAACUAUGAUAGUUAUACAUAUUGUAUCACUAUAUAGUUGAUAUAUAUAUAUAUUUAGAUAAGUUUGAAACCCGUGUAUGGCGCAAGACAAAUAUCAAAUAAUUGUAUGAACGUAUAUAGACAAAAAAAAAAAACUCAACACGUUAAAAAAUAUUCAACCUAUUAUUUUAAAACCCAAUAUUACAAAAAGGAUAAUUCAAAAAAUAUAUUUAAAAAGAUGAGAGUGGGAAGAAAAUAUAAGAAAAAACAAAACAAAAAACAGUAGAAUCUCUGUUCAACAAAAUUACAAAACUAAUUUGACCUCAAGAAAUAAUAUAUGCAGUGGUAACAACUUCACUGGCGUAAACCCCUUGGGUUGCCUCACCAUCCAUAUGUAUAUUUGUGGAUAUACACACAUAGAUACGGUAUUUUGC